AGUGAACGCUGGCGGCAGGCCUAAUACAUGCAAGUCGAACGGCAGCACGGCAGAGCUUGCUCUGUGGGUGGCGAGUGGCGGACGGGUGAGGAAUACAUGGGAAUCUGCCCAGUCGUGGGGGAUAACGUAGGGAAACUUACGCUAAUACCGCAUGCGCCCUUCGGGGAAGCCGGGGACCUUCGGCCUGGCGCGAUUGGAUGAGCCCAUGUCGGAUUAGCUAGUUGGCGGGGUAAUGGCCCACCAAGGCGACGAUCCGUAGCUGGUCUGAGAGGAUGAUCAGCCACACUGGAACUGAGACACGGUCCAGACUCCUACGGGAGGCAGCAGUAGGGAAUAUUGGACAAUGGGCGCAAGCCUGAUCCAGCCAUGCCGCGUGAGUGAAGAAGGCCCUCGGGUUGUAAAGCUCUUUUGUCCGGAAAGAAAAGCGCCGGGUUAAUACCUUGGUGUCCUGACGGUACCGGAAGAAUAAGCACCGGCUAACUUCGUGCCAGCAGCCG
rnacentral:rRNA from 1 species